AGCAGCAGCCAUAUCACCCUGCAACUCACAACUGGCAGCCCACUGGAGCUCAGCAGGUGUGAGCCUGGUCAGUACCUGGAUGGGAGACCUCCUGGGAAAAACUAAGGCGCAGCAGGGC
rnacentral:rRNA from 1 species